rnacentral:tRNA from 1 species
AGAAACUUAGGUUAAUUUAGACCAACGGCCUUCAAAGCCGUCAGCGAGAGUUAAAAUCUCCCAGUUCCUG